rnacentral:rRNA from 1 species
UACGUAGGGGGCGAGCGUUGUCCGGAUUUAUUGGGCGUAAAGAGCUCGUAGGCGGUUUGGUAAGUCCGCUGUGAAAGUCCAGGGCUCAACCCUGGAAUGCCGGUGGAAACUGUCAAGCUUGAGUCCGGAAGAGGCGAGUGGAAUUCCUGGUGUAGCGGUGAAAUGCGCAGAUAUCAGGAGGAACACCAAUGGCGAAGGCAGCUCGCUGGGACGGUACUGACGCUGAGACGCGAAAGCGUGGGGAGCAAACAGG